UUGAGAAAUUAUUGAAAUUAUUAUGGAAUUUCAAAAUGUUCUUUAUUAAAAGUGCACUGGAAUAAAAAUGUUAAAGUCUUUAACGUUGGUUAUGUAUUAUGAAUUAUCAAAGAACAACAAUGUAGAAUGUAUAUGUUUAGUAUUAAUAUACAGUUGUUCAUUAUUAUUUAGUGUUUGUUGAUAAUACAUUACAACUAAUGUACAAAAGUUUAGACAACCUCGUCUGCAGUUCUCAUUGUUAACUGAUGGAGUGAAUCUUCUGGUGACCUCAGAUGGGGGUUACCCUUCUCCUACACUGCAGUGGCUGAUGCAGAACUCAGACAUCACUAACCGGACACAAACACACAUUGCACAGGACACACAGACAGGACUUUAUGUUGUGUCUAGUUGGUUAAAUCUCACCAAAGGCACUAAAACCUUUCUUACAUUCAUACUCCACAACAACCCCCUGGGACAAGACCUCAGGAGAGACAUCCAACUGGAUUUAGAUAAGGGUGAGAGGCAAGGAGAGUCAGCAUACAGAUGUCAUGGGUGCUUCAUAUAUAUCCCAGUUAUUCUGCUGGUGCUGAUCGUGAUGAGUGUAUUGUCUGUGUUUAUUACAAGAAGAAGUAGAAGAGAACAGACAAAACAAAAUGGCUUUACGGAAAUUAAAUCCAAAUUCUUAAUGGAAAAUGUUUAAUAUGUCCAUAAUAGUUAUGUUACAAAACCACUUCAACUAACAGUUAUCCUUUUUAUGAAACUUAUGACUGACAAGAGAACAGACCAAACUAAAUGGCUUUACGGAAAUAGGGUUCCAUUCUGAAAUUCAGCUGCUUAACAGAAAAAGUAAAAUGGGACUCAAAUUCUCAGUGGAAAACAACCCAGUGGGGUUUGAAGGAGACGUGGAAUGUAAAAGAUCACCAUGAUAUGUAAACUUUUAAAUAUUAAAAUUGAAUAUGUUUAAUGUUAUCUUCAUCAGACACAUAAGCUCACCAUCUGUAAUACAGGACAUACUGCCUGGUUUAAGUAACAUUUGCCAUAUCCUUACUGUAGAAACCCUCCUCCAUUUAAUUUUACUAUUUAUUGUAUAUAUGAUUUUUUGUAUAAUUCCUGUGCAGUGUGAUUGUGGUAAGGAGGGACAGAGUUGAAGAGUGUAUUGGAAGUAGUUGUUUGUCAUAAUUUUGGACCACAGUAUUGGCAUCACAACAUCUUGUGUGUGUACUGUGUACUGUAAAAUUUGUAUAGUUUAUUA